rnacentral:sRNA from 1 species
UAGAUACCCCAGUAGUCCUGGCCGUAAACGAUGAACACUAGGUGUCGGGGGAAUCGACCCCCUCGGUGUCGUAGCCAACGCGUUAAGUGUUCCGCCUGGGGAGUACGCACGCAAGUGUGAAACUCAAAGGAAUUGACGGGGGCCCGCACAAGCGGUGGAGUAUGUGGUUUAAUUCGAUGCAACGCGAAGAACCUUACCAGGGUUUGACAUCCUGCGAAUCCCUUGGAAACGAGGGAGUGCCUUCGGGAGCGCAGAGACAGGUGGAGCAUGGCUGUCGUCAGCUCGUGUCGUGAGAUGUUGGGUUAAGUCCCGCAACAAGCGCAACCCACGUCUUUAGUUGCCAGCAUUUAGUUGGGCACUCUAGAGAGACCGCCGGUGAUAAACCGGAGGAAGGUGUGGAUGACGUCAAGUCAUCAUGCCCCUUACAUCCUGGGCUACACACGUACUACAAUGCUACGGACAAAGGGCAGCAAACUCGCGAGAGCUAGCAAAUCCCAUAAACCGUGGCUCAGUUCAGAUCGUAGGCUGCAACUCGCCUACGUGAAGGCGGAAUCGCUAGUAAUCGCAGGUCAGCAUACUGCGGUGAAUACGUUCCCGGGCCUUGUACACACCGCCCGUCACACCAUGGAAGUUGGCCACGCCCGAAGUCGUUACUCCAACCCUUGUGGAGGAGGACGCCGAAGGUGGGGCUGAUGACUGGGGUGAAGUCGUAACAAGGUAGCCGUACCGGAAGGUGUGGCUGGAUCACCUCCUUUUAGGGAGACCUAAUCCAUUUAGAAAUCGAAAGCAGUGAAAAUUGUGGGUAGAAACUAAAUUGGUCUAACCUAGGUCGGUCGAGAUUGGAAAAAAUCUUUCAAAGUAUUAUUUGGCUUAGUUCAAUAGGAAAGAAAACAGCACCUAACUAUAAAAUUUAGACUGCUGGGUGAAAUUCCAGCCAGAACCUUGAAAACUGCAUAAGAGAACGAGAAAAGCAGGCAGACACAGACAUGAGAGUGUUUCGUGAAAGCAAAGAAAAAUUGUGGUCAAGCUAAUAAGGGCUAAUGGUGGAUACCUWGGCACACAGAGGCGADG